rnacentral:rRNA from 1 species
GACGAACCGUGCAACCGUUGUUCGGAAUCACUGGGCGUAAAGCGCACGUAGGCGGAUUGUUAAGUCAGGGGUGAAAUCCCGGGGCUCAACCUCGGAACUGCCUUUGAUACUGCAAAUCUCGAGUCCGGAAGAGGUGAGUGGAAUUCCUAGUGUAGAGGUGAAAUUCGUAGAUAUUAGGAAGAACACCAGUGGCGAAGGCGGCUCACUGGUCCGGUACUGACGCUGAGGUGCGAAAGCGUGGGGAGCAAACAGG